GUAGGUGGCAAGCGUUGUCCGGAAUUAUUGGGCGUAAAGCGCGCGCAGGCGGUCCUUUAAGUCUGAUGUGAAAGCCCACGGCUCAACCGUGGAGGGUCAUUGGAAACUGGGGGACUUGAGUACAGAAGAGGAAAGCGGAAUUCCAAGUGUAGCGGUGAAAUGCGUAGAGAUUUGGAGGAACACCAGUGGCGAAGGCGGCUCUCUGGUCUGUAACUGACGCUGAGGCGCGAAAGCGUGGGGAGCAAACAGGGAUUAGAUACCCUGGUAGUCCACGCCGUAAACGAUGAGUGCUAAGUGUUAGGGGGGUUUCCGCCCCCUUAGUGCUGCAGCUAACGCAUUAAGCACUCCGCCUGGGGAGUACGGCCGCAAGGCUG
rnacentral:rRNA from 1 species